rnacentral:rRNA from 1 species
GACGAACGCGGGCGGCCUAUUUAAUACAUGCAAGUCGAGCGGACAGAAGGGAGCUUGCUCCCGGAUGCUAGCGGCGGACGGGUGAGUAACACGUGGGUAACCUGCCUGUAAGACUGGGAUAACUCCGGGAAACCGGAGCUAAUACCGGAUAGUUCCUUGAACCGCAUGGUUCAAGGAUGAAAGACGGUUUCGGCUGUCACUUACAGAUGGACCCGCGGCGCAUUAGCUAGUUGGUGAGGUAACGGCUCACCAAGGCGACGAUGCGUAGCCGACCUGAGAGGGUGAUCGGCCACACUGGGACUGAGACACGGCCCAGACUCCUACGGGAGGCAGCAGUAGGGAAUCUUCCGCAAUGGACGAAAGUCUGACGGAGCAACGCCGCGUGAGUGAUGAAGGUUUUCGGAUCGUAAAGCUCUGUUGUUAGGGAAGAACAAGUGCAAGAGUAACUGCUUGCACCUUGACGGUACCUAACCAGAAAGCCACGGCUAACUACGUGCCAGCAGCCGCGGUAAUACGUAGGUGGCAAGCGUUGUCCGGAAUUAUUGGGCGUAAAGGGCUCGCAGGCGGUUUCUUAAGUCUGAUGUGAAAGCCCCCGGCUCAACCGGGGAGGGUCAUUGGAAACUGGGAAACUUGAGUGCAGAAGAGGAGAGUGGAAUUCCACGUGUAGCGGUGAAAUGCGUAGAGAUGUGGAGGAACACCAGUGGCGAAGGCGACUCUCUGGUCUGUAACUGACGCUGAGGAGCGAAAGCGUGGGGAGCGAACAGGAUUAGAUACCCUGGUAGUCCACGCCGUAAACGAUGAGUGCUAAGUGUUAGGGGGUUUCCGCCCCUUAGUGCUGCAGCUAACGCAUUAAGCACUCCGC